CAGCUUCAGCCUUGGAGCUUGCCCAAGCAUUCUCAAGAUCCUUCUCAGAUCCAAAAACAGCAGACCAGUAUUCUGGCCAAAGGAGCCUCACUGGCAAGACCCAGAUGCCUUUUUCACGGCUAAUGGGACCCACGGCAAGGCCUCAGAUAAAUGGCUACUAAAUUUUGAGCGGUGUUAUGGCCAAUUAGGCAUCUGGUGGUAAGAAGAUUAUGUCUAUUUCAGCGUUGGUUAGUUGCACAAUCACUCGACAAAUGAGUGUGCACCAAGAUAUUUUCAGCGAAUAGAUGACCAUUUGAAUCGAGUGCAAUUCUCCAGAUACUGUUGAGGCCACUUUACUUUUUAACCCCAUUUGUCAUUUCAUCCUUUGCGCCAACCCCCCCUCCCCAAGAUAAC
rnacentral:misc_RNA from 1 species